rnacentral:rRNA from 1 species
GGUGAAAUGCUUAGAUAUCUAUCGGAACGCCAAUGGCGAAGGCAGGCAGCUGGGUCGAUGUUGACGCUCAGGCACGAAAGCGUGGGUAGCGAACGGGAUUAGAUACCCCGGUAGUCCACCGCCGUAAACGAUGCACACUAGGUCGGGGAGGUUUUGACGCCAUCCCGCGCCGAAGCCAAUGUGUUAAGUGUGCCGCCUGGGGAGUACGGUCGCAAGGCUAAAACUCAAAGGAAUUGACGGGGACUCACACAAGCGGUGGAGCAUGUGGCUUAAUUCGAAGCAACGCGAAGAACCUUAUCCUGGGUUUGACAUGCACGGAUUAGCAUCCCGAAAAGGAUGUGACACCCUCGGGUGGAACGUGCACAGGUGCUGCAUGGCUGUCGUCAGCUCGUGCUGUGAAGUGUCGGGUUAAGUCCCUUAACGAGCGAAACCCCUGUCGUUAGUUGCCAGCAUUCAGUUGGGGACUCUAACGAGACUGCCGGUGUCAAACCUGGAGGAAGGUGGGGAUGACGUCAAGUCCUCAUGGCCUUUACGCCCAGGGCUGCACACGUGCUACAAUGGUAUGGACAGAUCGAAGCAAUACCGUCAGGUGGAGCAAAUCGCACAAACCAUGCCCCAGUUCGGAUUGUGGUCUGCAACUCGACCAC